rnacentral:rRNA from 1 species
CCUACGGGGGGCUGCAGUAAGGAAUAUUGGUCAAUGGACGAAAGUCUGAACCAGCCAUGCCGCGUGGAGGAUGAAGGUCCUCUGGAUUGUAAACUUCUUUUAUAUGGGAUGAAAAAAGGGUUUUCUAACUCACUUGACGGUACCAUAUGAAUAAGCACCGGCUAACUCCGUGCCAGCAGCCGCGGUAAUACGGAGGGUGCAAGCUUUAUCCGGAUUCACUGGGGUUAAGGGGGGUGGAGGUGUCUGUGUAGAAAUCCCCGAGCUUAACUCGGGAACUGCCAUUGAUACUAUCAGUCUUGAAUACCGUGGAGGUCAGCGGAAUAUGUCAUGUAGCGGUGAAAUGCUUAGAUAUGACAUAGAACACCAAUUGCGAAGGCAGCUGGCUACCCGAAUAUUGACACUGAGGCUCGAAAGCGUGGGGAUCAAACAGGAUUAGAUACCCGGGUAGUC